rnacentral:lncRNA from 15 species
AUGGCAAAUUGAUAGCUGUGAAUCCACAAAAAUCUGCAGCGACAUAGUGUUAUGUUCCUUUAAUCAGCUGUGAGGGUGAGUUAGCAGGCUUGUUAAGUGGUCAUAGUAUCUGUGCGGCCAUCUAUUCAUUAAAGAACAGGUGAACUCAAGGCCCAUACCACCUAGGGCCCUACCACUACACGCCUGGCAGGUAGAGACACAAUGGAGCUCUGUGGUGAUGAAAGUCAACAUACACACAUGCAGAGUUUGAUACACACACACACACACACACACACACACAAGAACAAUGCCACCCCUGGUCGAACAUGGAGCCCGAGUUAAGGCUGCAUGUUCGACCAGGGGUGUUCAUGUGUUGCUUACACUUACAAAGUGACUUCACUUGCACCGCUGUGAUGUCACACAGUGGUCAAACCUCCUUUUUUGUCUUUUAAAAACAGUUCUCAGAACUCUACGAGUCCUCGCCGUGGAGCUCUUACCACCUGCACUCAGGAAUUACUGCCUUCAGGUAUGCCGCAACAACAAAAAAAACCUACUGAUGAAAUAAAAUGUGCAACAGUUCAUACAUAAAAAGAAAAUGUAUGACAACCACACACCGGCCAGAAUAGCAACAUUGUAAACCCUUUUGUGUGACAGUGAAGGAGCAGAAGGGCUCAACGUCUUCUACUGGAGUAAAUUCUCGGCCCCGGACGACGUUGCGAUGGCGAUCCGGAGGUCCAGCCCAGAGAGGCUGCAGCGCAGGCUUCCCGGCAGCAACAAGGUGCUGCGGGACAGCCGCAAUGAGCAGCGCUAUUACAUGGAGCAAGAUGACAACAUGCUCCACCUGCUGGGUUUGGACCCUGAUGACUUUGAAUCAGAUGAAAAAUCAGACAAGAGUAAGAAUCCAAACAGCAUCCAGAGUGGGAAGUGGCAGCUUGGCUUCCAAGGUGAGGAGAGCACACCUCCGACUUUAUAUUAAACACCUAGAGAAAAAGUAUCACUAAGGAAGACUGUCUGACUGUCAGAGCUUUGUUUAACUGAGGCCCAUCCAAGGGUUUACCAUAAUCC